rnacentral:rRNA from 1 species
GAUGAACGCUGGCGGCGUGCCUAAUACAUGCAAGUCGAGCGAACGGACGAGAAGCUUGCUUCUCUGAUGUUAGCGGCGGACGGGUGAGUAACACGUGGAUAACCUACCUAUAAGACUGGGAUAACUUCGGGAAACCGUAGCUAAUACCGGAUAAUAUUUUGAACCGCAUGGUUCAAAAGUGAAAGACGGUCUUGCUGUCACUUAUAGAUGGAUCCGCGCUGCAUUAGCUAGUUGGUAAGGUAACGGCUUACCAAGGCAACGAUGCAUAGCCGACCUGAGAGGGGGAUCGGCCACACUGGAACUUAGACACCGUCCAGACUCCUACGGGAGGCAGCAGUAGGGAAUCUUCCGCAAUGGGCGAAAGCCUGACGGGACAACGCCGCGUGAGUGAUGAAGGUCUUCCGAUCCUAAAACUCUGUUAUUAGGGAAGAACAUAUGUGUAAGUAACCGUGCCCAUCUUGACCGUUCCUAAUCAGAAAGCCACGGCUAACUACCUG